CCUACGGGUGGCUGCAGUGGGGAAUGUUGGACAAUGGGGGGAACCCUGAUCCAGCCAUGCCGCGUGUGUGAAGAAGGCCCUCGGGUUGUAAAGCACUUUCAGUGAGGAAGAACGCCUGGUGGUUAAUACCCAUCAGGAAAGACAUCACUCACAGAAGAAGCACCGGCUAACUCCGUGCCAGCAGCCGCGGUAAUACGGAGGGUGCGAGCGUUAAUCGGAAUUACUGGGCGUAAAGCGCGCGUAGGUGGCUUGAUAAGCCGGUUGUGAAAGCCCCGGGCUCAACCUGGGAACGGCAUCCGGAACUGUCAAGCUAGAGUGCAGGAGAGGAAGGUAGAAUUCCCGGUGUAGCGGUGAAAUGCGUAGAGAUCGGGAGGAAUACCAGUGGCGAAGGCGGCCUUCUGGACUGACACUGACACUGAGGUGCGAAAGCGUGGGUAGCAAACAGGAUUAGAUACCCGUGUAGUC
rnacentral:rRNA from 1 species